CCUACGGGAGGCUGCAGUGGGGAAUAUUGCACAAUGGGGGAAACCCUGAUGCAGCGACGCCGCGUGAGUGAAGGAGUAUUUCGGUACGUAAAGCUCUAUCAGCAGGGAAGAAAUAAAGUCCUUUGUACUUUGGACGGUACCUGACACAGAAGCCCCGGCUAACUACGUGCCAGCAGCCGCGGUAAUACGUAGGGGGCAAUCGUUAGUCGGCUUUACUGGGUGUAAAGGGCGCGUAGACGGCAGCGCAAGUCUGGAGUGAAAGCCCAUGGCUUAACCAUGGAACUGCUUUGGAAACUGUGCAGCUGGAGUGCAGGAGAGGUAAGCGGAAUUACUGGUGUAGCGGUGAAAUGCGUAGAUAUUAGGAGGAACACCAGUGGCGAAGGCGGCUUACUGGACUGUAACUGACGUUGAGGCUCGAAAGCGUGGGGAGCAAACAGGAUUAGAUACCCCUGUAGUC
rnacentral:rRNA from 1 species